rnacentral:misc_RNA from 1 species
GAAAUGCGAUACGUAGUGUGAAUUGCAGAAUUCAGUGAAUCAUCGAAUCUUUGAACGCACAUUGCGCCCUUUGGUAUUCCAAAGGGCAUGCCUGUUCGAGCGUCAUUUGUACCCUCAAGCUUUGCUUGGUGUUGGGCGUUUUUUGUCUUUGGUUGCCAAAGACUCGCCUUAAAAGGAUUGGCAGCCGGCCUACUGGUUUCGCAGCGCAGCACAUUUUUGCGCUUGCAAUCAGCAAAAGAGGACGGCAAUCCAUCAAGACUCCUUCUCACGUCUGACCUCGGAUCAGGUAGGGAUACCCGCUGAACUUAAGC